rfam:Arabidopsis lyrata subsp. lyrata unplaced genomic scaffold ARALYscaffold_4, whole genome shotgun sequence.
UCGUAUUACAUGUUUUGUGCGUGACUCUAAUUUAACAGGCUUAUGUUUGAGAUUUUUUUGACAAAUCCGGAUUUUGCUGUUGGAUUAGAUUCACGCACAAACUCGUAAUCUGUCU